AAAAAAAAAAAAAAAAAAAAAAGAAAUAAAGGUUGGCAGCCGCACAUUCCCUCACACUCCUCCUCCUUUCGUUGUCUUUCCGGUGACCGGAGCCACACUUCCGGCGACUUCCGACACCCCUCUCUUUCAGGCGAACCAUACUCACAUCACACCACCACACCCUCGUUCUUUCUCUACCGUUUCGUCAAGCAACAUCAACGACAACGCAGAACUCCGGUGACGGUUAUCCUCCAGUGAUGAUGGUGAAGACGUUGGUGGCCGACGGCAGCCGAAACCACAACUAUAGACGAGGUGGUGGUCUUGGUUCGACUCUGCGUUGGCUCGGAUCAGAUCUCGGAGCAGGAUGAAAAAAAAAAAACGCAACCUCACACGUCCACCUAUUUCACGUUUUCUCCGGUAGUUAGGUAUCUUGGAAUUGGGAAGCUUGCUAUCUGGGAGUGCUGGAGUGGUCAUGGAUCGAGGCUCUUGGAUUAAAAUACAUUUAAUACAUUGGUUUUAAGUGUUAUUACGAAACAAUUGCGCAACAACUUAUUACAUGCUUCCGCUACACAACUUUUGAGAAUUAAUAUUAUGUUGGCAACUUAUUUUGUUAAAAUAGUGUCAUGACUUAUUUUAAUAUUUAUCAUUGGUUCAAUGUGAUUGGUGGCUCGAACUUUGAUGCGUGACACGUCUCGCGGGGUUUCCGCAAGUGAAAUUUUGGGGGUGUUACAGUAUAAUUACUCAACUGAUAAAAAUCAU
rnacentral:lncRNA from 1 species